AGUGAACGCUGGCGGUAGGCCUAACACAUGCAAGUCGAACGGCAGCACAGGAGAGCUUGCUCUCUGGGUGGCGAGUGGCGGGCGGGUGAGGAAUACAUCGGAAUCUACUUUUUCGUGGGGGCUAACGUAGGGAAACUUACGCUAAUACCGCAUACGACCUACGGGGCAAAGCAGGGGAUCUUCGGACCUUGCGCGAUUGAAUGAGCCGAUGUCGGAUUAGCUAGUUGGCAGGGUAAAGGCCCACCAAGGCGACGAUCCGUAGCUGGUCUGAGAGGAUGAUCAGCCACACUGGAACUGAGACACGGUCCAGACUCCUACGGGAGGCAGCAGUGGGAAAUAUUGGACAAUGGGCGCAAGCCUGAUCCAGCCAUACCGCGUGGGUGAAGAAGGCCUUCGGGUUGUAAAGCCCUUUUGUUGGGAAAGAAAUCCAGCUGGUUAAUACCCGGUUGGGAUGACGGUACCCAAAGAAUAAGCACCGGCUAACUUCGUGCCAGCCGCCGCAGUAA
rnacentral:rRNA from 1 species